ACCACAAGCUGAUUAGUAACACA
rnacentral:snRNA from 1 species